rnacentral:rRNA from 1 species
GACGAACGCUGGCGGCGUGCUUAACACAUGCAAGUCGAACGGAAAGGCCUGCUUUCCCUUGUGGAUUGCGGGUACUCGAGUGGCGAACGGGUGAGUAACACGUGAGUGAUCUGCCCCCAACUUGGGUAUAAGCCUGGGAAACUGGGUCUAAUUCCCGAUAGGACUGCAGGGUGGUGCCUGUGGUGGAAAACGAUUUUCUAGUGGUUGGGGAUGAGCUCGCGGCCUAUCAGCUUGGUGGUGGGGUAAUGGCCUACCAAGGCGGCGACGGGUAGCCGGCCUGGGAGGGUGGACGGCCACAUUGGGACUGAGAUACGGCCCAGACGCCUACGGGAGGCAGCAGUGGGGAAUAUUGCACGAUGGGCGGAAGCCUGAUGCAGCGACGCCGCGUGGGGGAUGACGGCCUUCGGGUUGUAAACUCCUUUCGACCGCGAGGAAGCCACCUGGUUGGAAGGGUGGUGACGGUAGUGGUAGAAGAAGCACCGGCUAACUACGUG